GCGGGGCACUCCUGGGCCCUGCGUAGGCUGCGGCGCUCGGGCUUGUCGCAGUGGAACGUUCAAUUUAAACAAGAGAGGGAGCACGUGUAGCGUACACUAACUCAAACUGUGCGCCUUCGCGCGUCUAGUAAACGCGUCAACUGUUUAGAAAUGGCUUCAGUUUCUUUCCGUGAUCUCUAAGGAAAAGCAAAUGAAAGAGAUGGAUUAACACAGGACAGGAUUUCGUUCCGUGAGUUGUGUUUCUGACUACGGUGUGGAGAUUUAAUUACCGAACAGUCUGCUUGCAAGGCAUGUAAUACUUAUCUGUUAUUUAUAUGGCUUCUGCAUACCACUAACUCGGAGGUAACUUGAUUUAUCAGCACAACUGCCCUGUGGUAUAAGGAAAUAAAUUAAUCCUAUUUUU